GAAACGACUGCUAAGACUGGAUAGGAGACAAGAAGGCAUCUUCUUGUUUUUAAAAGACCUAGCAAUAGGUAUGCUUAGGGAGGAGCUUGCGUCACAUUAGUUAGUUGGUGGGGUAAAGGCCUACCAAGACUAUGAUGUGUAGCCGGGCUGAGAGGUUAAACGGCCACAUUGGGACUGAGACACGGCCCAAACUCCUACGGGAGGCAGCAGUAGGGAAUUUUCGGCAAUGGAGGAAACUCUGACCGAGCAACGCCGCGUGAACGAUGAAGUAUUUCGGUACGUAAAGUUCUUUUAUUAGGGAAGAAUAAAUGAUGGAAAAAUCAUUCUGACGGUACCUAAUGAAUAAGCCCCGGCUAACUAUGUGCCAGCAGCCGCGGUAAUACAUAGGGGGCAAGCGUUAUCCGGAAUUAUUGGGCGUAAAGGGUGCGUAGGCGGUUAAAUAAGUUUAUGGUCUAAGUGCAAUGCUCAACAUUGUGAUGCUAUAAAAACUGUUUAGCUAGAGUAAGAUAGAGGCAAGUGGAAUUCCAUGUGUAGUGGUAAGAUGCGUAAAUAUAUGGAGGAACACCAGUAGCGAAGGCGGCUUGCUGGGUCUUUACUGACGCUGAGGCACGAAAGCGUGGGGAGCAAACAGGAUUAGAUACCCUGGUAGUCCACGCCGUAAACGAUGAGUACUAAACGUUGGGUAAAACCAGUGUUGAAGUUAACACAUUAAGUACUCCGCCUGAGUAGUACGUACGCAAGUAUGAAACUUAAAGGAAUUGACGGGACUCCGCACAAGCGGUGGAUCAUGUUGCUUAAUUCGAAGGUACCCGAAAAACCUCACCAGGUCUUGACAUGCUUCUGCAAAGCUGUAGAAACACAGUGGAGGUUAUCAGUUGCACAGGUGGUGCAUGGUUGUCGUCAGCUCGUGUCGUGAGAUGUUGGGUUAAGUCCCGCAACGAGCGCAACCCUUAUUGUUAGUUACCAGCACGUAAUGGUGGGGACUUUAGCAAGACUGCCAGUGAUAAAUUGGAGGAAGGUGGGGACGACGUCAAAUCAUCAUGCCCCUUAUGACCUGGGCUACAAACGUGAUACAAUGGCUGUUGCAAAGGGUAGCUGAAGCGCAAGUUUUUGGCGAAUCUCAAAAAAACAGUCUCAGUUCGGAUUGAAGUCUGCAACUCGACUUCAUGAAGUUGGAAUCGCUAGUAAUCGCGAAUCAGCAUGUCGCGGUGAAUACGUUCUCGGGGUUUGUACACACCGCCCGUCA
rnacentral:rRNA from 1 species